rnacentral:misc_RNA from 1 species
GAAAUGCGAUAAGUAGUGUGAAUUGCAGAAUUCAGUGAAUCAUCGAAUCUUUGAACGCACAUUGCGCCUCUUGGUAUUCCGAGGGGCAUGUCUGUUUGAGCGUCAGUACACACCUCCUUUGGGAUUUUUCUCACUGGGUCUUGGGACGCGGUUUCGCUUCGGCGGACCCCUCCCUAAUGUGGCACGCUUGCGGGCCCCCGGCCAGAUGUCAACGUAGUAAAUUUCAAACUCGUUCCCAGCUGUCGAAGGGCCUCGCCUGAUUCAAACUCUCAUGGUUUGACCUCAGAUCAGACAAGGAUACCCGCUGAACUUAA